GCCGCCGCUCCGCCCAGGUCUCAGGUCUCAGGUCCCGCUGCACCGGUCCGCCGAUCCUCGCCCGCUGCCGCCGCCGCCAAAAUGACUACAAGCGCACCUGCAGGGUCAAGUGCUGCCUCUGGCAGUAGCAGAAGACUUCAGCAGACACAGAAUCAAGUGGAUGAGGUGGUGGACAUCAUGAGGGUCAACGUGGAUAAGGUGCUGGAAAGAGAUCAGAAGCUCUCUGAGUUGGAUGACCGUGCAGACGCGCUGCAGGCAGGGGCCUCCCAGUUUGAAACGAGUGCUGCCAAGCUGAAGAGAAAAUACUGGUGGAAGAAUUGCAAGAUGUGGGCGAUAGGGGUCAGCGUGGUCGUCGUCAUCAUCAUCAUCAUCAUCGUGUGGAGUGUUUCUUCCUGAAGAACCAGUGAAAGUCCAGCCUGCUGUUCAAGAAACCUCUUCAAGAGUUUUGAUUUAGAACCUGCUAUAUUAUCAAGCUUACCUACUGUUAUAUCUAAAAUGAUUAUUUUCCGUUAGCGACUGUAAAGUUUGUUUUCUAGGACACGUGCCUUUGUUUUGUAAUAUGCGCUCCAAACUAGAGGUGUAGUCAGCCCAGCCCCCAUUUUGCACAGUGCCUUUUCAGAUUUACAUAUGGGCUGAUGAAGAGGACUUCUUAAGUUGCAGAGUGUAAUAACCUGGCGGUAAUGUUGUCUGAUUAACUGCCAGUGAUUCCAGUGAAGGAAGUUUGUUCCAAGUUAGCUGUCCUCGUCAUACGACAUUACUCUCAUUUUAAACCUCUGGGUAGUCGGAUUCCAAUUUGUGCCUUCCAGAAAGAACACUACUGCCUAACACAAAUACAGGCUGUGCCUUAUUUUGCUAUUUUUCUGAUUCCCUUUAAGAGAACUCUCUACUGUUUAUAAACACUGCUGACUCUUUCGCUGUUUUUAAAACCAGUUGCUGGUAAAGAGUUUUUGCUCCUGCGUUAGAUAUGAAGAUGUUUACUUUCUUGUUACUGUUAUGUAUCACUUGCUAAAAAUAUUGUUUUAAUCAGAAAUAAUAACCUCGUUAACACAUUUUUAUAGAACUGUGGCUGUGACCAAAGUUUCUGUUUUGCCAAAAAGUUAAAUCCCAGUCAGAUGUCAAGUCUGUUCCUGGUAGAUAAAUUCAGAAAAGUGACCAGUGGGACUCAAGGUGCCCUUCAGAAUUAAAACUGUAAUAUUGUGUGUGAACCUCUGACAUCCUGGCAGGCCUUUCUUGCCCUUGAAAGGCUGUAGGUCUUGCGACUCUCCUUCCGAUCCAGCAUUUUUCCUGGGGGUUAGAGAAGGUUUGAGCUCGACUGACCAUCUCAUUCCUGUAGACAGAGUUUUACCCAGCCGUUUGCAGAUUAUCAGCUGUAGACUCCAAUAUGUUUCUAAUAAUGACGUGAGCAACAGUUCUGUAGUCUUCAAGUGAGACCAUCUGUGAACUGGGCAUUUUCUGGUCCAGUCUCCACGGACGAUAGCUUUUUGGAGUUUGUUUCCUAUUUUGACCCAUAGUCCGCUUCCUAAAUCUGUCUUCUAAAUUAUGCUCUCGAUUAGGCAUCGGUCGGGGGGACGACUCUUUUUACAGAGGAUAGCUAACCGGAGACACUUUCUUUCUUCGAUGUCACAGACUGUCUGCAUAAGAUGCUGCUUUGGGAAUAGCUGUUGUCAUCUGAGAGGCUUUUGUUGUGUACGUGAGACUUUGGACAUCAGGGUGUGAGGCUUAAGGACAGGAAUUCAGGUAGGAAUGAAAACAGACGAGGCACUGAGGGGGAAAGGAGUCUUAACCACCCUGUGACUCACCGUUAGCGGGAUAUUCUAAAAUUCUUGUUCACACACUAGUUUGUGACUUACAAAGCAACAGUUAGGGUGCGCCAGGACCCAGGUUCCAUUUCUUUAAUAUCUGUUCCCCUGACAUCAGUGAAAUGGUGUGAAGUUGAAACUAUGCCUUGCAGUGUGCCCACCUGGGAAGAAGGGAGCAGCUGCCAGUGUCGGGACGUUGGCCCCCCCUCGGCUCAGGUCUCCGGCCGGGUCUGACCCUGAAACCUCGGUGCUCUCUCCUUGGCCUCGAUGCUCAGUCCCAUGUAACCCACUGGCUGCUGCGUUAACCCAGGAAUACUUCGCCUGUAUCUGUGCAUUUAGCUGGGAAGUCGCCCACUAUAAUAAACUGAAUAAAGUGUGUAUAAACAUAACUCCAGUGCUUGUGUCGCUUGUAGGGGAACAGCUGAGCCUGGUCCAGGUCCUCAGGAAAUGGCGCUCCUUGCUGCUCCACCGGCCUCUCCCUUACAAACCCCGAGUCCCCUUCCUCUUGCUCUCUCACCGCUCCCGUCCCUGAGGACUCUGAGCUCCUUGCAUACCACUCCCCAUGUGAAGCGUGCUUUUCAGUAGAGGCGAUGAGUGGGGAACUGGCUUUCUUACGAUUCCUAAAACGUUCAGAAUUUGGCUUUUGAGUUUCUUAAAUAUAUGGUCUUUCAGAAGUGAUUUGUAUAGAGCCAGCCGGUAUGUGCUGGACCAGGUCGCUGCCCACGUGGGGCGUGGGAAGAUGACUUGGGUGGGAGAGGGACGCCUCUUGUUUUCAUUCUGCAUCUUUCCCCUUGAAUGUACUUCCAGUCUUACUCUGCAAGCCCUAGGGAACGAUAUAAUAUGGGUGGAAGGAGACUUGCUUAUGUUCACAAUAAAAUGCCAGUUUUCAAUAAAAUGCCAGUUUUCCUGGGAUAAACAGGUUGACGUUUUUCCAUUGCCUCGGAUAGACAGUCACUGCUUUUCUUGUCUGACAUGCGAUCGUGUCCCUGGGAAAGUACUAACUGUAGAAUCGUGCCUUUUGUUCAGGACCAUGAUAUAAUGAAAUAUGUAUGAACUUUUGGUGCCAUUUUCAAAGGAAAAUCUACCGUAAAGGGGCUCCUCUUUCUCUGCUUCUCCCUUAAAUGUCAGGGUUCCUUAGGGACUUCUGUUUCUAUUCUACUUACCCUCCCCAGGCAAUCUUAUCUGUUCUCAUGAUCCCUCUAUUCAUUUAUCUGCUGAUGAGGCCUGGCCUGUUGGACAUAAGCCUCUCAAACUCAGCGUUCACCAGACAGAAGGAAUCAUCCCCUGUCCCAUGCUCCUCCUCCGAUCAUUCACAGUGUCUGUUCCAGAAAUGGCGCCAUCACCUACCCAGUGACCACACUAGCCAAAUCCACUGGACUUGCUGCUCUUUUUGGUCACCAUCUAUGUCACUCAGGAUACGCUGGAGGUGUGCUAUGUACCAGACACCUCCCAAAUUGCCACGGCUCAAAGUUUUUUCCUUGCUUGUGCUCUGUGUCCCACGCCAGUCAGCAGGAAGGCUCUGUCGUCAGUCCCUGGGGGGUGGGGUGAGGGGACUUCCUGUAAACAUUCGUUUCCGGUUAUCACUGCGGAAGGAAGGGACCGGCAGGAAUUGUGCACUGGCUCUCAACGCCUGCGCCUGGAAGUGGAGCCAGCAGUUCUGCUCACGUUUCAUUGGCCAAAGCAGGUCAGGUGACCGUGGCUCACCUCAGAGGUGGGAGGGAGUCCUGUCUGUCACCCAGGGGAGAAAUGGAAUGUUUGUGAACAUCUUCCUUUGUGUCAACAACUUCAGUCAAAGAAUGGGGGCAAAUUCCCCGUGUCUUGCAUUUUCUAAUGACUUCUGUCUCUUACACAAUAAUUCUAUAUUUACAUCACCAAUAAAACGUUUCUUAAAGUAUGG
ensembl:lncRNA